GAUCCUGGCUCAGGACGAACGCUGGCGGCGUGCCUAACACAUGCAAGUCGAGCGGGGAUUUAUUGCGGAAGGUUUCGGCUGGAAGGAAUAAAUUCUAGCGGCGGACGGGUGAGUAACGCGUGAACAAUCUGUCCCGGACAGGGGGAUAACACUUGGAAACAGGUGCUAAUACCGCAUAAGACCACGGCCUCGCAUGGGGCUGAGGUAAAAGGAGCAAUCCGGUUCGGGGUGAGUUCGCGUCCGAUUAGCUAGUUGGUGAGG
rnacentral:rRNA from 1 species